rnacentral:rRNA from 1 species
GACGAACGCUGGCGGCGUGCCUAAUACAUGCAAGUCGAGCGCAGGAAACCGUCUGAACCCUUCGGGGGGACGACGGCGGAAUGAGCGGCGGACGGGUGAGUAACACGUAAAGAACCUGCCCAUAGGUCUGGGAUAACCACGAGAAAUCGGGGCUAAUACCGGAUGUGUCAUCGGACCGCAUGGUCCGCUGACGAAAGGCGCUUCGGCGUCGCCCAUGGAUGGCUUUGCGGUGCAUUAGCUAGUUGGUGGGGUAAUGGCCCACCAAGGCGACGAUGCAUAGCCGACCUGAGGGGGUGAUCGGCCACACGGGGACUGAGACACGGCCCAGACUCCUACGGGAGGCAGCAGUAGGGAAUCUUCCACAAUGGACGAAAGUCUGAUGGAGCAACGCCGCGUGUACGAUGAAGGCUUUCGGGUCGUAAAGUUCUGUUGUAAGGGAAGAACAAGUGCCGCAGGCAAUGGCGGCACCUUGACGGUACCUUGCGAGAAAGCCACGGCUAACUACGUGCCAGCCGCCGCAGUAAAAC